AGUGAACGCUGGCGGUAGGCCUAACACAUGCAAGUCGAACGGCAGCACAGUAAGAGCUUGCUCUUACGGGUGGCGAGUGGCGGACGGGUGAGGAAUACAUCGGAAUCUACUUUUUCGUGGGGGAUAACGUAGGGAAACUUACGCUAAUACCGCAUACGACCUACGGGUGAAAGCAGGGGAUCUUCUGACCUUGCGCGAUUGAAUGAGCCGAUGUCGGAUUAGCUAGUUGGCGGGGUAAAGGCCCACCAAGGCGACGAUCCGUAGCUGGUCUGAGAGGAGGAUCAGCGACAUUGGAGCUGAGACACGGUCCAGACUCCUACGAGAGGCAGCAGUGGGGAAUAUUGGACAAUGGGCGCAAGCCUGAUCCAGCCAUACCGCGUGGGUGAAGAAGGCCUUCGGGUUGUAAAGCCCUUUUGUUGGGAAAGAAAAGCAGCAGGUUAAUACCCCGCUGUUCUGACGGUACCCAAAGAAUAAGCACCGGCUAACUUCGUG
rnacentral:rRNA from 1 species